rnacentral:rRNA from 1 species
UACGGAGGGCGCAAGCGUUGUUCGGAAUCACUGGGCGUAAAGCGCGUGUAGGCGGCUUGGCAAGUCGGGUGUGAAAUCCCGAGGCUCAACCUCGGAACUGCACUCGAAACUGCUUGGCUCGAGUCCCGGAGAGGGUGGCGGGAUUCCCGGUGUAGGGGUGAAAUCCGUAGAUAUCGGGAGGAACACCAGUGGCGAAGGCGGCCACCUGGACGGUGACUGACGCUGAGACGCGAAAGCGUGGGGAGCAAACCGG